UACGGGGGGGGGCAAGCGUUGUUCGGAAUUACUGGGCGUAAGGGUUGUAGUGCCGGCUAAGUCAGACGUGAAAUCCCUCAGCUUAACUGGGGAACUGCGUCUGAAACUGAUCGGCUCGAGUGCAGGAGAGGAACGCGGAAUUCCAGGUGUAGCGGUGAAAUGCGUAGAUAUCUGGAGGAACACCGGUGGCGAAGGCGGUGGUCUGGGCCGUGACUGACGCUGAGGAGCGAAAAGCCAGGGGAGCAAAGCGGG
rnacentral:rRNA from 1 species